AGAAUCAACGCUGGCGGCGUGCCUAACACAUGCAAGUCGAACGCGAAAGGGGAGCAAUCCCUGAGUAGAGUGGCAAACGGGUGAGUAACACGUGGGUGACCUGCCUCAGAGUGGGGGAUAACGUCCCGAAAGGGACGCUAAUACCGCAUAACAUCCUGCCUUUGGAAAGGCGGAGAUCAAAGCCGGGAUCGCAAGACCUGGCGCUUGGAGAGGGGCCCGCGUCUGAUUAGCUAGUUGGUAGGGUAAUGGCCUACCAAGGCAACGAUCAGUA
rnacentral:rRNA from 2 species